rnacentral:rRNA from 1 species
ACUAACAAGGAUUCCCCUAGUAACUGCGAGUGAAGCGGGAAAAGCUCAAAUUUAAAAUCUGGCGGUCUCUGGCCGUCCGAGUUGUAAUCUAGAGAAGUAAUGCCCGUGCUGGACCGUGUAUAAGUCUCCUGGGAUGGGGCGUCAUAGAGGGUGAGAAUCCCGUCUUUGACACGGACUACCAGUGCAUUGUGGUAUGCUCUCAAAGAGUCGAGUUGUUUGGGAAUGCAGCUCAAAAUGGGUGGUAAAUUCCAUCUAAAGCUAAAUAUUGGCGAGAGACCGAUAGCGAACAAGUACCGUGAGGGAAAGAUGAAAAGAACUUUGGAAAGAGAGUUAAACAGUACGUGAAAUUGCUGAAAGGGAAACGCUUGAAGUCAGUCGCGUUGGCCAGGGAUCAGCCUUGCUUUUUGCAUGGUGUACUUUCUGGUUGACGGGUCAGCAUCAAUUUUGACCACUGGAAAAGGGCCUGGGGAAUGUGGCAGCUUCGGCUGUGUUAUAGCCCCUGGUCGCAUACAGUGGUUGGGAUUGAGGAACUCAGCACGCCGCAAGGCCGGGUUUCGACCACGUUCGUGCUUAGGAUGCUGGCAUAAUGGCUUUAAGCGACCCGUCUUGAAACACGGACCAAGGAGUCUAACAUGCCUGCGAGUAUUUGGGUGGAAAACCCGAGUGCGCAAUGAAAGUGAAAGUUGAGAUCCCUGUCGUGGGGAGCAUCGAUGCCCGGACCAGAACUUUUGGGAUGGAUCCGCGGUGGAGCAUGUAUGUUGGGACCCGAAAGAUGGUGAACUAUGCCUGAAUAGGGUGAAGCCAGAGGAAACUCUGGUGGAGGCUCGUAGCGAUUCUGACGUGCAAAUCGAUCGUCAAAUUUGGGUAUAGGGGCGAAAGACUAAUCG